GACGAACGCUGGCGGCGUGCUUAACACAUGCAAGUCGAACGAUGAAGCCCAGCUUGCUGGGUGGAAGAGUGGCGAACGGGUGAGUAACACGUGAGUAACCUGCCCUGAACUCUGGGAUAAGCACUGGAAACGGUGUCUAAUACUGGAUACGACCUAUCACCGCAUGGUGUGUGGGUGGAAAGAUUUAUCGGUUUUGGAUGGACUCGCGGCCUAUCAGCUAGAUGGUGAGGUAAUGGCUCACCAUGGCGACGACGGGUAGCCGGCCUGAGAGGGUGACCGGCCACACUGGGACUGAGACACGGCCCAGACUCCUACGGGAGGCAGCAGUGGGGAAUAUUGCACAAUGGGCGCAAGCCUGAUGCAGCAACGCCGCGUGAGGGAUGACGGCCUUCGGGUUGUAAACCUCUUUUAGUAGGGAAGAAGCGAAAGUGACGGUACCUGCAGAAAAAGCACCGGCUAACUACGUGCCAGCAGCCGCGGUAAUACGUAGGGUGCAAGCGUUGUCCGGAAUUAUUGGGCGUAAAGAGCUCGUAGGCGGCUUGUCGCGUCUGCUGUGAAAUCCCGGGGCUCAACCCCGGGCCUGCAGUGGGUACGGGCAAGCUAGAGUGCGGUAGGGGAGAUUGGAAUUCCUGGUGUAGCGGUGGAAUGCGCAGAUAUCAGGAGGAACACCGAUGGCGAAGGCAGAUCUCUGGGCCGCUACUGACGCUGAGGAGCGAAAGCAUGGGGAGCGAACAGGAUUAGAUACCCUGGUAGU
rnacentral:rRNA from 1 species